rnacentral:rRNA from 1 species
GAUGAACGCUGGCGGCGUGCCUAAUACAUGCAAGUAGAACGCUGAAGGAAGGAGCUUGCUCUUUCCGGAUGAGUUGCGAACGGGUGAGUAACGCGUAGGUAACCUGCCUGGUAGCGGGGGAUAACUAUUGGAAACGAUAGCUAAUACCGCAUAACAGUAGAUGUUGCAUGAUAUCUACUUAAAAGGUGCAAUUGCACCACUACCAGAUGGACCUGCGUUGUAUUAGCUAGUUGGUGAGGUAACGGCUCACCAAGGCGACGAUACAUAGCCGACCUGAGAGGGUGAUCGGCCACACUGGGACUGAGACACGGCCCAGACUCCUACGGGAGGCAGCAGUAGGGAAUCUUCGGCAAUGGACGGAAGUCUGACCGAGCAACGCCGCGUGAGUGAAGAAGGUUUUCGGAUCGUAAAGCUCGGUUGUAAGAGAAGAACGAGUGUGAGAGUGGAAAGUUCACACUGUGACGGUAUCUUAACAGAAAGGGACGGCUAACUACGUG